GACCUUGCAGAGAGCGGCCCAAGGCUCCGGUCAGGCCUCUUGUGACGCCCGCCUCGGCCCGCCUGCUGAGAAACCUGAGCAGGGAGGCGCUCUCCCUGUCCGGGCGGGAAGCAAGAAGACGCGGCGGCCUCGGUGGUCUUUUGAGGCGGCGGUGGGGACGGGAGGCGCGGAAGUGCUGUCAACUUUGGAUGAAAAGUAAAAGCGAAUCUCUUUGGGUGCCUUCAGCUCCCCUCCCCCUGCCCCCGGCGAGGCCUUAUUAAGAGAGCCAUGUGCUUUUAGCUCAGCCUUAAGCGGGCUUACUCGGGAGUAAGUGACGCCUUGCGACUUGACAGACGUUGCGAGCUCUCUCGCAGAGCAGUCCGGUUUAACUUUAUGCCGAACGGCCCGCGUUGCUUGGCAUGUGACCUAUACAGUAUUAAGACUUCAGAGCGCAGCAUGCAUCAUCAAAUAAUUUCAGAGUUGUAUAUCCAAAUUCAAUUUACUUCUUUUAGCCAGGUCACUGUUGUACCCGUUUCAUAUAUGGGCUUCUGAGGUUGACAGAACCAGGGGGCGGAAAUGGGACUUGAGCCCAUAUAGGCCGACUCUGUUAUCACUAUGUACACAUACACGUGCUUAUAAUUUGGGAUCAUUUGCAGCAGGCUUGCACAAUUUGUGGAGCAUAUUUGAGCAUUGACAGAGGCUCACUAAAGGUUUGGUGAAGCUGUUUCUGCCUGCCUGGGACGGGGAGGGGGGGAGAGGGGUGAGGUCGGGGCGGAAUCAGCCAUCUGGCAGCCCAUAAUAUUUCAUUGUUGCUUGUCUGGCUUGUUGUAUCAUGAGUUGUAUGAGGCCGAUUGAAAUACUUUGCAGAUUUAUAUGGUCAAGCUUUGAACAAAUGUUAAGACCUACUUGACUAGGCAGCACAGUGCAGUCUCAGUGCUGUAGCCUCAAGUGCUUAGUGCAGUGUUUCUCAAAUAUGGGAGGAGUCCGUCUUAAAUUACAGCUAUAAACAGCCAAAGGUGAGGAUGUGCCCCAAAGUGUGGAUCAUGACUCCGCAGGGAUUAUUGAGAGGAAAGACAGGAGAUGCAAAGUGGCAACCUCUGCAGACUUGGUUGUUUCAGGAUGGCGAUGAAUAAUGGCAUGAGGUACAUAAGAUGCGAAUAAGGACUAGUUCACUCAGGUGAGCUGAUUAUUUUCCUCACCUAUAUGCAAAUCACAUGCAGGAAAACCUUGGAGUGAACUAGCUACACACUGGGGCUGUAAACGAAUAUGGUGUACAGCAGCCAUCUAUUGAGGGAAUGCCACCAAAAUUGAGUCAAAACAGAGUGGAGCACAUGAGUUGCCUGGGUAGCAUGUGGCAAUCCCAUGCCUUUCUUCCUCUUCUCUUACAGCACAGCAUCAGAAUACUGGGAAGUGUUCCCACAUUUCUGGGCAAACAGACAAAUUAUCCCUGUCUUCCUGGCAGGGUGGAUUUGAUUUAAAUCAAAUCGAAUCACUAGUAAGUAAGACUUGAUUUACAUCAUUUUUACAGAAAGGUUUAACCUUGCUGGCAUCCUCUUAAUAUUUACAACCAGAGGAAGGUUUCAUUUUUGGAAUAAUAAAUUUUCAGAGUAGUUUUUACAGUUACAUCAAAAAUUGCUGAUUUGGUUAUACAAUCAGAAAUACAUAGACAGAUAAAUAUGAAAUUAUUGUUUAUAUUUGGACAACUUUUCUGCUGUACUUUAUUGGGACUUUAUUUUUGUACUUUAUUUAUUUUUAAUUUUUUAAAUUAAAAAACAACAACCUUAGACUGAGUUUUAGCACACAUGAAAAACUGUAAACAAAUCCUUAUUUCCUGAUGAAUAGCCUUUGGACUAUAAUGUAACUUAAGCAGAAAACUACCUUUAGAAAGAUUUUUCUCCCAAAAGCAUUUUAUUUUAAAAAUCUGAUUUAAAUUUUAAAAAUCUGAUUUAAAUUUAAAAAAUCUGAUUUAAAUAAAAAAAAUCCAUUUUUUAAAAAAAUAUUUUUAAAGAAUCAUUUAUUUUUAUUCACCCUGCUUCCUGGCAGCACAGCAGUAGUAUAUAGUGCCAGUUGCUUGGGUGACUCUUACUAUCUUUUCAGCAGCUCACGGGACAAGUUUUAAGAAUUGCUUGAUUAGGCUGGAAGACAUGUGCUGUUUGGUCACACCCCACUGAGAUCAUCAGGCAACUUUCUUUACCUUCCAGUGCCACUUUAGCAACUGUGAAAUUUGCAAGCAGUCAUAAAAAUGCAAAUAAAAUGCAGGGUGUGGGAAGGUUCAGCCGUGAACUAUGCACUUCAUCAUCCACUCCCCCUUGGAAGUAUUGGCUCAAGCACUUCACUGGAGCAACCCAGCCUGGCUGACACUGAAAUUUCUCCAUACAUCUCUCUACACAGAACAGGGUCACAGGAAGAAAAUAAAUGGCCGUCAGUGUUUGAACGAUCUGCUGUUGGCCACAGAUCUUUCAUAACUCAAAUGAAGCUUAUCUCACAUCGCUUUAUCAUCCAGGACUCACAUUGCCAUUUUAAAACGGAACUGAAAUAUUUACUGAGGAAAGAGGAAGGUUGGAAUAGGGAAAAGUAAGAUAAGAAGGCAGGGACCACUGUUUGCCAGACCUCUAGGUCAGGCUUCCUCAAACUCUGCCCUCCAGAUGUUUUGAGACUACAGUUCUUAUCAGCCCUGACCACUGGUCCUGCUAGCUAGGGAUCACGGGAGUUGUAGGCCAAAAACAUCUGGAGGGCUGGGUUUGAGGGUCGCUCAUCCAGCCUGAGAGUGACUGACCUCUGUCUGAUGCCAAUGGCAAUUAAACACUUGUUUGAGCAACUAACCUUAUAGCAUUUCCCCUGAGGCCCAGAUCACUGACAUUUUUAGAGUUGAAGAGACAAGUGGUAAUUUUAUAAUCAUUAUGGGAAGAAAGCAAACGGCCUGCAACACUGAAAGAUGAGGACAAACCUUAACAAUGCUAAACUUCUCCAAGCAAGGCCUGGAGCUUCUGGACUAUGUAGUUGAGCAAGCACAAUUCUGGCUUUGGCAAAUGAGUAUUCAGAUAGCACCCUGUGGCUUCCAUUCAGGUGGCUUCCUUCCACCAUAAAAUGGCGCAUGUGUAGCACUUGUCCCUUAACUGCAUUAAUAGUUGCAUUCAGCUUGAAAGAAUAAAGCACUGCUGUGCAUCACUUACUUG